rnacentral:lncRNA from 1 species
UGACUUGGCUUGCACUUACUUGUGACUAGCUCACAGAGUGGGAUGAUGACACUGUGUGGGAGCUCUGAGUAUUCAUGUCAUCUGUAAAAUAAAGCAGUUGGACCGCAUGUCCUCAAAGGUUCCUCAGCGUUCUCUAGCUCUACAAGACAAGUUUUCUGAUCCUAAAUCAUUCUACUGUUGCUUGGCGAAAGCACUGUGACAGAAUCACAAGCCAGAGAAUAAUGAACAAAUGUGUGUUACUGCAAAUAGAACUGAUAGGAAAUGAAAAAUUGAAUGCCUAAAUAACAUCUCACUUCAAUGAGACCUCUGCAGAUAUUUUGUCAUUGAUAAAAUAGUCAUUGAGAAGCUGUCAGAAUCCCAAGAUGUAUAUGGAAGGCACUUCAAAGACCCUACAAAAAUCAAUAAGAAGGACAAAUAAAACAACCCAGUGUCUAUAGCAUGCCAUUGGAAGCCUUUGACUGAAUUGACCAGCUAUAAUUCAAUUCCAAUUUGUCAUUGGGACAUCAUCACUGCAGUAUUAUGCACUUGGUAAAUGUUUCUGGGAUUGAAUUGGAAACAAAAGAUGCUGUUGUAUGACCUGGGAUCUCAAGACCUCUUUGGAAUGCAGCUGGAAUAAUGAAAGACCUUUUCAUUCCAUGUGAAAGAUCUUCAACUGAAACUCUCAAAUCCCACUGUGCUACUACUGUAUCCCAACGAGGAACCCCCUGAGGGAACCCCUAGCUUCUGGAGCAGAACAGCAAGAAAUUCUCUUAUUAUGUGCACAACGAAAUCAACAUGUUUAAUUAUUCGACAGGCAAUCACAGCAGCUAUUGCCACAGCUUCUCUGGUCUAACUGCCUUCUUUUCAGUCAAGACAUGCUGACUGGUUCCCUUCUCCAAAUGCCAGAGAGAGUUGGAGUUUAUUGAAUUGUUGGUAACAGGAGAUUUAUGAUGUUUCCAUCUAGUUUCUGGAUUAACUAUUCAUUUAUUCAACAAGAUGAGAAUCCCACAAAAUUCGCAACAUUAAAUGGAUUAUAAAUGGUUCCAUCUUUUAUUUCUUUGUUCUGAUACACCCUGUAAGAGUAAAAAAUGAAGUAGAAUCAAGAUAAACUAAUCCACCCUCAUGGGCUACAGAUGACAGC